UGGGGUUUAUAGAAUCACAGUGCUGCAGUGCUGCUCUACAGGUUCUGGGGUUUAUAGAAUCACAGUGCUGCAGUGCUGCUCUACAGGUUCUGGGGUUUAUAGAAUCACAGUGCUGCAGUGCUGCUCUACAGGUUCUGGGGUUUAUAGAAUCACAGUGCUGCAGUGCUGCUCUACAGGUUCUGGGGUUUAAAAAAUCACAGUGCUGCAGUGCUGCUCUACAGGUUUUGAGGUUUAUGAAAUCGCAGUGCUGCUCUACUCUAUUUUUCGAAGAGAAUUUAUAAUGAACAUAGCUUUUAGAUAAUUUAAUUUGCCCUCUUUGCAGAUAGAUCCCGCCUCCC